GAUGAAGAACGUAGCGAAAUGCGAUACGUAAUGUGAAUUGCAGAAUUCAGUGAAUCAUCGAGUCUUUGAACGCACAUUGCGCCCCCUGGUAUUCCGGCGGGCAUGCCUGUUCGAGCGUCAUUUCAACCCUCAAGCUCUGCUUGGUGUUGGGGCCCUACGUCUGACGUAGGCCCUCAAAGACAGUGGCGGACCCUCUCGGAGCCUCCUUUGCGUAGUAACUAACGUCUCGCACUGGGAUUCGGAGGGACUCUUGCCGUAAAACCCCCAAUUUUUACAGGUUGACCUCGGAUCAGGUAGGAAUACCCGCUGAACUUAAGCAUAUCAAUAAGCGGAGGA
rnacentral:misc_RNA from 1 species